rnacentral:rRNA from 1 species
CCGUGAUAAAGUAGCAUAAUCACUCGUCAUUUAAUUGGUGACUGGAAUGAAUGGUUACACGAAUCUUUAACUGUCUCAAGAAGAAAGUUCAAUUAAUUUGAAAAAACAGUGAAGAUGCUGUUAACAAAAUUGUAAGACGAAAAGACCCUUUCGAGCUUUACUAUAAGCUUAUAGAAAAAAUCUUUAAUAAAAAUAUAAUAAAAACAAACUGUAAGCUAGUUAGUUUGGUUGGGGCGACCACCUCUAAAACAGUAUCAGAGGAAAUCUAAAGGUAUAAUAGUAAUAUUAAUUGCCUUACUGUAUACAAACAAGUUAAUCAGUUACUAUUAUGUAGGAUAUAAUGACCCGUUGAAUUAAUUUCAAAAUUCAACGACCAUGAAAAAAGUUACCGUAGGGAUAACAGGGUAAUAUUAUCAAAGAGUUCAUAUCGAUGAUGAU